rnacentral:rRNA from 1 species
UGGGGAAUUUUGGACAAUGGGCGCAAGCCUGAUCCAGCCAUGCCGCGUGCGGGAAGAAGGCCUUCGGGUUGUAAACCGCUUUUGUCAGGGAAGAAAUCUUCUGAGUUAAUACCUCGGGAGGAUGACGGUACCUGAAGAAUAAGCACCGGCUAACUACGUGCCAGCAGCCGCGGUAAUACGUAGGGUGUAAGCGUUAAUCGGAAUUACUGGGCGUAAAGCGUGCGCAGGCGGUUUUGUAAGACAGAGGUGAAAUCCCCGGGCUCAACCUGGGAAACUGCCUUUGUGACUGCAAGGCUUGAGUGCGGCAGAGGGGGGAUGGAAUUCCGCGUGUAGCAGUGAAAAUGCGUAGAUAUGCGGAGGAACACCGAUGGCGAAGGCAAUCCCCUGGGCCUGCACUGACGCUCAUAC